rnacentral:rRNA from 1 species
AUGUGUGUCCCCAAAGAGAAGGGAGGCAUGGGAUUCAGAGACUUACAUUGUUUCAAUUUGGCACUACUGGCAACGCAAUGCUGGAGGUUGUUAUGUGAACCAGAGUCCUUAUGUGCUAGAGUGCUACGGGCCAAAUAUUUUCCCGGAGACCUUCUUAAUUGCAGCCUUAAGAAAGGGAGCUCAUAUACUUGGCAAAGCUUGUGGAGUGGCAUUCAAUCUUUCAAGAGAGGUCAUAUAUGGAGGGUGGGUGAUGGGUCCCAACACUACUAG